CACAGACAAGGAAUUGCAUGUCUGCUAUGAGUUCAGCAAGUACCGAGACUGUCUUAGAAAAUCCUGAUCUCUCUGUACCAUUUCAAAUCAGUGUUUCUGGCUUGGAUUCUCAGAAGAUGGGCGUUCAGUUCAGUUGCUGGAAAGAAGUGCCAUUGUUUGCAACUCACUCUGAAAAAGUGACGCUCUGAAAAGCAACGACCUGUUGCCAGCUCCUGUAAGUUAGCCUAGAAGGAUUUUAAUACAAGAAGAUAGUCCGUGGAGACUGGUUUUUCAUAUGGGCACACCGGUAUCCUUCCCUUUACUAUCUGAGGACAAGAAUGAACUACCAUGGACUCUGCUUGUUUACAGUAUGGCCUGGG
rnacentral:lncRNA from 1 species